UUGUUUUUGAUAUAUGACGAUAAACUCUGCUGGACAAGACAACUGGUUCACCUCUUCCAAGACUGAUAAAUGUCAAUCAGCCCACUCCUUUCAAGAAAUAUAAUGAUAACACCAGCUUCAAAAAUAAAAAGGCAAGUAUGGAACCUCUACUAGAAGCUCCACUAUCCGUUGAGACCCACCACCAACAACUUUCUUCUCUGCUCUGCAAUUUUCCAUAACGUGCAAAAUAAACUUCAACACUCAGACAAGGAUACUGGAGUAGCUCUGCCAACAGGUGAAGAUCACAAGGUACCUCUUUUCUUUGUGAAUACUGAAGAUUUGAAAGAUACUAAAAACUAAGUACAUGAGAUUCUCUUUCUAUUUGUGGUUUGUUGUAUACUAUCCCAUUAAAAAUGUAUUUGUUGAUGUGAGAGUUAAUCAGACAAUUAUAUACAUCUUAUUAAUAGUUAAAGAAGAACCACAAAUAUAUUUUCAAUAUAUUGGUGUUCCAUUAUUUUGGAACGUUCACUCUACUACCGUCACUAACGCGAAUGGAGUAACAUUGAUGAGCUAAAGCAUC